rnacentral:rRNA from 1 species
CAAUAGCGUAUAUUAAAGUUGUUGCGGUUAAAAAGCUCGUAGUUGGAUUUCUGCUGAGAACGACCGGUCCGCCCUCUGGGUGUGUAUCUGGCUCUGUCUUGGCAUCUUCUUGGUGAACGAUGCUGCACUUGACUGUGUGGAGCGCUACCCAGGACUUUUACUUUGAGUAAAUUAGAGUGUUCAAAGCAAGCCUACGCUCUGAAUAUAUUAGCAUGGAAUAACACGAUAGGACUCUGGCUUAUCUUGUUGGUCUGUGAGACCAGAGUAAUGAUUAAGAGGGACAGUCGGGGACAUUCGUAUUUCAUUGUCAGAGGUGAAAUUCUUGGAUUUAUGAAAGACGAACUUCUGCGAAAGCAUUUGUCAAGGAUGUUUUCAUUA